CAGAUUUAUGACAAUUUCCUGCAUCACAUCUCUGUAGAAAUUCUGGGAAGGAUCUAGCAAAGCCCACUUCUGUUGGGUGAAGGUUGCAGCCACAUCUUCAAAGGCAACUAAGUCCAUAUUCCAGAUUCCUGUGUGUCCUGGCAUCCUCCCCAUGCAUCUCCCAGUACCUGCCAGUCACAGAGUGACAAAGGACAUGCCAUGGCAGAACUCCCUGGGCCUCCUACAGUGAAGAAGAAGGAGUCGUGAAGACUGACUGAGCAACGGACAUGUGGGCAUGAAAGACCUGAGUAGAUUUAUUUAUUGAAAUAAAACCAUGCAGUUCAUUGAAUCAAAGUCCUGAACACA